rnacentral:rRNA from 1 species
UCUUCCGCAAUGGGCGAAAGCCUGACGGAGCAAUGCCGCGUGUGUGAAGAAGGCCUUCGGGUUGUAAAACUCUGUCCUUAUCGAAGAGAGGUGGGUAUGUGAAUAAUGUACCUAUAGGACGGUAGAUAAGGAGGAAGCCACGGCUAACUACGUCCAAGCAGCCGCGGUAAUACGUAGGGGGCGAGCGUUGUCCGGAAUCACUGGGCGUAAAGAGCGCGUAGGCGGUUUAAUAAGUCAGUGGUGAAAACUGAGGGCUCAACCCUCAGCCUGCCACUGAUACUGUUAGACUUGAGUAUGGAAGAGGAGAAUGGAAUUCCUAGUGUAGCGGUGAAAUGCGUAGAUAUUAGGAGGAACACCAGUGGCGAAGGCGAUUCUCUGGGCCAAGACUGACGCUGAGGCGCGAAAGCGUGGGGAGCAAACAGG